GCGCUGCAUUAGCUAGUUGGUAAGGUAACGGCUUACCAAGGCAACGAUGCAUAGCCGACCUGAGAGGGUGAUCGGCCACACUGGAACUGAGACACGGUCCAGACUCCUACGGGAGGCAGCAGUAGGGAAUCUUCCGCAAUGGGCGAAAGCCUGACGGAGCAACGCCGCGUGAGUGAUGAAGGUCUUCGGAUCGUAAAACUCUGUUAUUAGGGAAGAACAUAUGUGUAAGUAACUGUGCACAUCUUGACGGUACCUAAUCAGAAAGCCACGGCUAACUACGUGCCAGCAGCCGCGGUAAUACGUAGGUGGCAAGCGUUAUCCGGAAUUAUUGGGCGUAAAGCGCGCGUAGGCGGUUUUUUAAGUCUGAUGUGAAAGCCCACGGCUCAACCGUGGAGGGUCAUUGGAAACUGGAAAACUUGAGUGCAGAAGAGGAAAGUGGAAUUCCAUGUGUAGCGGUGAAAUGCGCAGAGAUAUGGAGGAACACCAGUGGCGAAGGCGACUUUCUGGUCUGUA
rnacentral:rRNA from 1 species